GCCUCGAUAGCUUAGUUGGUUAGAGCACUAUAGUGAAGUUAUAGCUACGAAUGUUCGACUCAUUCUCAGGGCA